CUCACAGCACGGUGUGCUAGGAAGGUAUCAACAGUGAUAUGUAUCCAUGAUGUACAUUGUCUUGAACCUGAUUGUAAUAACCACGGAUCAUGUGACAUGGGGGCAUGUUCAUGUUAGUCAUCAUGGACCAGAGAUACUUGUGGAUAUGUUACAUUGUUAGUGUACUUGUGAUCCUGGUUGGACCAAAAAACUGUGCCAAAACCUUGUCCUAGAAACCGUUGGAUCUGAUUUUAGGUCAUAUUGUUACUGCUGUAAAUGCAGCCACUGUCAUCCAGUGUGUGGUAACUGUUACGGUACAUACAUGUAUAUGAUACAGGAUACACUGGAGCAUACUGAUGAUAAUAUUUUAAAAGUGUAGUGCAUCUCCUCCAUUUAUUUACAAUGCUAACGAAGACGAUAAUCAAUUUAUUAUUAUUAUUAUAUUAAUUGGUUUAAGUACUGUAAUGAACUAAUGAUACAUACUAUACUAUAUAUGUACUGUUCACAUUAUGCUGUCAUGGUAACAGAGACAAAGUUUAACAAUUCAGAAAAAAGAGAGAAUUAAUGCAGGAAAGAGAAUGGGAACAGAUUAUGUUACAGAACAGUAGUACUGAUGAAAAAUUUAAUUAUACUUGUAUAAUAUAAAAGUAUUAUUUACUAUGAUUUC